CAUGCAAGUCGAACGGGAAUCUUAGGAUUCUAGUGGCGGACGGGUGAGUAACGCGUAAGAAUCUAACUUCAGGACGGGGACAACAGUUGGAAACGACUGCUAAUACCCGAUGUGCCGCAAGGUGAAACCUAAUUGGCCUGAAGAAGAGCUUGCGUCUGAUUAGCUAGUUGGUGGGGUAAAGGCCUACCAAGGCGACGAUCAGUAGCUGGUCUGAGAGGAUGAGCAGCCACACUGGGACUGAGACACGGCCCAGACUCCUACGGGAGGCAGCAGUGGGGAAUUUUCCGCAAUGGGCGAAAGCCUGACGGAGCAACGCCGCGUGGGGGAGGAAGGUCUUUGGAUUGUAAACCUCUUUUCUCAAGGAAGAAGUUCUGACGGUACUUGAGGAAUCAGCCUCGGCUAACUCCGUGCCAGCAGCCGCGGUAAUACGGGGGAGGCAAGCGUUAUCCGGAAUUAUUGGGCGUAAAGCGUCCGCAGGUGGUCAGCCAAGUCUGCCGUCAAAUCAGGUUGCUUAACGACCUAAAGGCGGUGGAAACUGGCAGACUAGAGAGCAGUAGGGGUAGCAGGAAUUCCCAGUGUAGCGGUGAAAUGCGUAGAGAUUGGGAAGAACAUCGGUGGCGAAAGCGUGCUACUGGGCUGUAUCUGACACUCAGGGACGAAAGCUAGGGGAGCGAAAGGGAUUAGAUACCCCUGUAGUCCUAGCCGUAAACGAUGGAUACUAGGCGUGGCUUGUAUCGACCCGAGCCGUGC
rnacentral:rRNA from 1 species